rnacentral:rRNA from 1 species
AUUGAACGCUGGCGGCAUGCUUUACACAUGCAAGUCGAGCGGCAGCGCGGGGGCAACCCUGGCGGCGAGCGGCGAACGGGUGAGUAAUGCAUCGGAACGUACCCUGGAGUGGGGGGAUAACGCCGCGAAAGCGGCGCUAAUACCGCAUAUGCUCUGAGGAGGAAAGUGGGGGACCUGCAAGGGCCUCACGCUCUGGGAGCGGCCGAUGUCCGAUUAGCUAGUUGGUGGGGUAAAGGCUUACCAAGGCGACGAUCGGUAGCUGGUCUGAGAGGAUGAUCAGCCACACUGGGACUGAGACACGGCCCAGACUCCUACGGGAGGCAGCAGUGGGGAAUUUUGGACAAUGGGGGCAACCCUGAUCCAGCCAUGCCGCGUGAGUGAAGAAGGCCUCGGUGUAAGACUCUUGUCGGAGAAGUAGCUGCUACA